GUGGUGUCGAUUACCCCUUGCCGUAGUUGGCUACGCAAAGUGCGGGCAGCGUCACGACUAAAAGAAUUUGCAAGUCUGUGCCGUGCACGCGGUUUUCGCGCUGAGAGCCACCUCUUUCGCGUUGGAAAAAGUCCGCGUGAUUUCAAAUGUUUGUGGGCAAUUCCUUCAUGGUACAGGUGUUGUUGUAACUUCAUACUGAAGCUCUUACUUCUAGCUAUUGUUUUUGCAAUCUGUGCAACAUUGUACUGCAUGUACGUGAAAGCGUUUCAGGCCAGUCGCCGGCGGUUUAAUCUGUUUAAUCUGUCGGUUGUGUAACGUCGAAGUUCGCGGUCGUCUUGGAUGCUAGUUCCGAACCUGAAGCUAUUCCCGGGUCCGUUUACAGGAUUUCAGCCAUUUUUUCAGGCAUUGUGAGCGCUGAUACGGAGAUCGCAAGGUGCAAUGCGGUUAAGUCCGUACGAAGCAGCAGGGAAUGGAUGGAGUCGUCGCGAGCUGGUAAUGAAGCUCGUUCUCCCCGACGUUGGAUCAAAAAGGCAAACUGGAAGGGGAAUCACGAGCCCCCAAGUCUACGAAAAGACAGAAGAACACCAUCGCCGAGGAGAUGACUGCUUGAAGUAAAAUGUUUAGUCGUCGUUAUUCCUUGGUUGGACAUUGCGGAUACGUGCCCCAUGAGUUUAAGCUCUGUUGAUUACAGCGUGUGUGUUGAUGAUCAACGUUACGCUUUCAAAGACAUGUAAGUGCUGAAUCAAGUUUGUGUUGUAAUUGG